rnacentral:rRNA from 1 species
GCAAGUCGAGCGGUAGCACAGAGAGCUUGCUCUCGGGUGACGAGCGGCGGACGGGUGAGUAAUGUCUGGGAAACUGCCUGAUGGAGGGGGAUAACUACUGGAAACGGUAGCUAAUACCGCAUAACGUCGCAAGACCAAAGUGGGGGACCUUCGGGCCUCAUGCCAUCAGAUGUGCCCAGAUGGGAUUAGCUAGUAGGUGGGGUAACGGCUCACCUAGGCGACGAUCCCUAGCUGGUCUGAGAGGAUGACCAGCCACACUGGAACUGAGACACGGUCCAGACUCCUACGGGAGGCAGCAGUGGGGAAUAUUGCACAAUGGGCGCAAGCCUGAUGCAGCCAUGCCGCGUGUGUGAAGAAGGCCUUCGGGUUGUAAAGUACUUUCAGCGGGGAGGAAGGCGAUAAGGUUAAUAACCUUGUCGAUUGACGUUACCCGCAGAAGAAGCACCGGCUAACUCCGUGCCAGCAGCCGCGGUAAUACGGAGGGUGCAAGCGUUAAUCGGAAUUACUGGGCGUAAAGCGCACGCAGGCGGUCUGUCAAGUCGGAUGUGAAAUCCCCGGGCUCAACCUGGGAACUGCAUUCGAAACUGGCAGGCUAGAGUCUUGUAGAGGGGGGUAGAAUUCCAGGUGUAGCGGUGAAAUGCGUAGAGAUCUGGAGGAAUACCGGUGGCGAAGGCGGCCCCCUGGACAAAGACUGACGCUCAGGUGCGAAAGCGUGGGGAGCAAACAGGAUUAGAUACCCUGGUAGUCCACGCCGUAAACGAUGUCGAUUUGGAGGUUGUGCCCUUGAGGCGUGGCUUCCGGAGCUAACGCGUUAAAUCGACCGCCUGGGGAGUACGGCCGCAAGGUUAAAACUCAAAUGAAUUGACGGGGGCCCCGCACAAGAA